rnacentral:rRNA from 1 species
UACCAGCUCUCCGAGUUGUAGGGACGAUUAUUGGGCUUAAAGCGUCCGUAGCUGGCUUAGCAAGUCUCCUGUUAAAUUCAGCGACCUAAUCGUUGAGCCGCGGGAGAUACUACUAGGCUAGGAGGCGGGAGAGGUCGACGGUACUUUCGGGGUAGGGGUGAAAUCCUAUAAUCCCGGGAGGACCACCAGUGGCGAAGGCUGUCGACUAGAACGCGCUCGACGGUGAGGGACGAAAGCUGGGGUAGCGAACCGGAUUAGAUACCCGGGUAGUCCCAGCUGUAAACUAUGCGGGCUAGGUGUUGGGGUGGCUACGGGCCACUUCAGUGCCGCAGGAAAGCCAUUAAGCCCGCCGCCUGGGGAGUACGGCCGCAAGGCUGAAACUUAAAGGAAUUGGCGGGGGAGCACCACAAGGCGUGAAGCUUGCGGUUC